rnacentral:rRNA from 1 species
UGGGGAAUAUUGGGCAAUGGGCGCAAGCCUGACCCAGCAACGCCGCGUGAGGGAAGAAGGUCUUCGGAUUGUAAACCUCUGUCCUUGGGGACGAAAAAAAUGACGGUACCCAAGGAGGAAGCUCCGGCUAACUACGUGCCAGCAGCCGCGGUAAUACGUAGGGAGCAAGCGUUGUCCGGAAUUAUUGGGCGUAAAGGGUGCGUAGGCGGCGCUGCAAGUCAGAUGUGAAAUCCCCGGGCUUAACUCGGGGGGUGCAUUUGAAACUGCAGUGCUUGAGUGCAGGAGAGGAAAGCGGAAUUCCUAGUGUAGCGGUGAAAUGCGUAGAUAUUAGGAAGAACACCGGUGGCGAAGGCGGCUUUCUGGACUGUAACUGACGCUGAGGCACGAAAGCGUGGGGAGCAAACA